rnacentral:rRNA from 1 species
ACUCCUACGGGAGGCAGCAGUGGGGAAUCUUAGACAAUGGGGGAAACCCUGAUCUAGCCAUGCCGCGUGAGUGACGAAGGCCCUAGGGUCGUAAAGCUCUUUCGCUGGGGGAAGAUAAUGACGGUACCCAGUAAAGAAACCCCGGCUAACUCCGUGCCAGCAGCCGCGGUAAUACGGAGGGGGUUAGCGUUGUUCGGAAUUACUGGGCGUAAAGCGCACGUAGGCGGGCUGUUAAGUCGGGGGUGAAAUCCCGGGGCUCAACCCCGGAACUGCCUUCGAUACUGGCAGCCUUGAGUUCGAGAGAGGUGAGUGGAAUUCCGAGUGUAGAGGUGAAAUUCGUAGAUAUUCGGAGGAACACCAGUGGCGAAGGCGGCUCACUGGCUCGAUACUGACGCUGAGGUGCGAAAGCGUGGGAGCAAACAGGAUUAGAUACCCUGGUAGGUCAGU